rnacentral:lncRNA from 1 species
CAGCGCGGGGGCUGACGGCCCCUCCAGGCUCCUGGGUGGAGCUGCGCUAUGGCCCAGGCUGCCCCGAGCCGGCACCCUCGCCCUUCUCCUGCCACGCUGACGUGGAGCGGAUGCUGCUGGAAGCCCAGCUAGAGACGGAGAGCGGGGACGGGUGAGUUGCAAGGAGGAGCCGGGCCCCGGAGCUCUGCCGGGCCAGGCUGGGCUCGGUGACCGAGGGGGUCUGUUUGCAGGGCCCUGCUCGUGCUGGACGCUCCAGCCUGGAAUGACGGUGGAGCUGGGCAGGCGAGCGAGCAGUCAGGGGAGAGCGAGGUCCUUCCUGCACACAGCCAGCCCCCACAGGGCUGCCCCCACCCCCAGCAGGUAAGGGAGCUGUCCCCUACCCUUCUGCACCCCUGGGCCCUGCUCUGACCUGCCCUGUGUCUCCUUCCAGGGGGAUACGCUGGAGGAAACCAAGCGGAGACAGCGACUCCUGCCAGCGUCCCUGGGCUGGGCCUGUACCCGCUGCCCCCGGUACCUGUCUCCAAAGGAAUUUGCCUUUGUGUGCUCCCCCCAGCCUGUGCUGUGGAGCCUGCAGGGAGGUGCAGUGGGGAGGAAGAAGAGACUUUUCAGUUCAGAGCUGCUGCUGCUCUUCAUCCCCUCGCUGCUGCUCAGCCACCUCCUGACCCUGGGGCUGGGGAUCUACAUUGGGAAGCACCUGGCAGCCACCUCGGCCAACCCCCUGUGAGGAGCCCUGUGCUGCCCCGCUCGGUGUGCAGGGGGAGCCCGGCACCCGCACAGCCCGACCGCUCCCAGGCUCCGUGUCUGUGGCACGAGGUGCCUCCCCGUGUACCUCCUGUAGCCCCCGCCCUGGGAGCUGAUCCCCCUCU